rnacentral:rRNA from 1 species
AGUGAACGCUGGCGGUAGGCCUAACACAUGCAAGUCGAACGGCAGCACAGUAAGAGCUUGCUCUUACGGGUUGCGAGUGGCGGACGGGUGAGGAAUACAUCGGAAUCUACUUUUUCGUGGGGGAUAACGUAGGGAAACUUACGCUAAUACCGCAUACGACCUACGGGUGAAAGCAGGGGAUCUUCGGACCUUGCGGGAUUGAAUGAGCCGAUGUCGGAUUAGCUAGUUGGCGGGGUAAAGGCCCACCAAGGCGACGAUCCGUAGCUGGUCUGAGAGGAUGAUCAGCCACACUGGAACUGAGACACGGUCCAGACUCCUACGGGAGGCAGCAGUGGGGAAUAGUAGACAAUGGGCGCAAGCCUGAUCCAGCCAUACCGCGUGGGUGAAGAAGGCCUUCGGGUUGUAAAGCCCUUUUGUUGGGAAAGAAAAGCAGCAGGUUAAUACCCCGCUGUUCUGACGGUACCCAAAGAAUAAGCACCGGCUAACUUCGUG